UUUUAGUCAUAAUAAGUAAAGAAUUCGUUUCGCUUUAGCGCGAUGUCUUAAGUAAACUUUAAAAUUUUCAUUUAAUUAUGAAUCGGUCAGCGGUAAAUUUUGGGUACGAAAAUUUUGAUUGACUCUUCGUUUCUUCAACGAUUACGACUGGAAAUUUCGUUUAGAAAAAUAAGUUAUGGCGAAACUCUGAGAAUAAGAGAAACAGUUUAAAAGUAUCUGGACAAUUACAAAAAGAUCAUAUGUAGAGUGCAACACCUUAAGCGCUUACGAGCCUCAUUCAAUUGAUGAUAAUUGUCAAGUUGUUUUAGUUACUAUGGUUACCCUAUAACCGCACUGAAUGCAGUCAAAUAAGCUUUUUUUUUUUUGUCUUUUCGCAUUUUUCUAUUUAAACAAGUGUUUAAUGGGUAGAUUUGCGUAGCAGUGAGGCAUUAGUUUGAAUUUAAUAGAAAAAAAAAAAAAAAA